rnacentral:tRNA from 1 species
UGGCUCAGUAGUAGAGCAUUUGCCUGGCAUGCAUGAGGUCCUGGGUUUGAUCCCCAG